rnacentral:rRNA from 1 species
CUACGGGACGCUGCAGUGGGGAAUAUUGGACAAUGGGGGAAACCCUGAUCCAGCAAUGCCGCGUGUGUGAAGAAGGCCUUAGGGUUGUAAAGCACUUUCACCCGUGAAGAUGAUGACGGUAGCGGGAGAAGAAGCCCCGGCUAACUCCGUGCCAGCAGCCGCGGUAAUACGGAGGGGGCUAGCGUUGUUCGGAAUUACUGGGCGUAAAGCGUGCGUAGGCGGCGCAUCGAGUUAGGCGUGAAAGGCCUGGGCUUAACCUGGGAACUGCGCUUAAUACUGGUGUGCUUGAGUCCGGAAGGGGGUGGCGGAAUUCCCAGUGUAGAGGUGAAAUUCGUAGAUAUUGGGAAGAACACCGGUGGCGAAGGCGGCCACCUGGUCCGGAACUGACGCUGAGGUGCGAAAGCGUGGGGAGCAAACAGGAUUAGAUACCCGGGUAGUC